UCAGACAGAGGUUCUAUACAAAUUGAAAUAGAGCAACUUACAGACGAAAUUAAUAGAAUUGCUGAUCAAGCUCAAUAUAACCAAAUGCACUGUUGUCAAACAAAUCUGCUUCCCAAAAUCGUAAGAACAGCUGAAGAACUUGGAAUCGCAACCUUGCAAAAAUCAACACACCAGCGUCACUUUCAGGAUCUCAAGCUUCUUGGACUUUAAGAGUUCAUGUGGGAGCAAAUCAAGAUGAAGCGAUUGCUGUAAAUAUUUAUGCUGCUAAUGUUGCAAAUCUAUUCUCUGGUGAAGGAGCUCAGGCUGCUCAGACUGCACCUGUUCAAGACGGUGUUCAACAAGAAGGAGCUCAACAGCCAGCACCUGACCACCUUCACACGUAAUAGAUUUGCAACAUUAGUUACAACUAAUGUUGACGCUCCACAUCUGGUGCUAACCUAAAAAANGCUAAAAUAAAGAAACUUGAUAUCCUGAACGUGUUCUGGUGUGUUGAUUUUUGCAAGUUGCAUUCUAUAAAUACUGCUAUCGAACAUUGCGGGAACAAUUUGUGUGACACAUGUGCAUUUGGUUAUAUUGGC
rnacentral:misc_RNA from 1 species